GGAGGUGUGGCUCAGCGGUACAGUGUUUGCCUGCCAUGUUCAGGGUCCUAGGUUCCAUCCCCAGCACCGGAA
rnacentral:tRNA from 1 species